rnacentral:rRNA from 1 species
AGUGAACGCUGGCGGUAGGCCUAACACAUGCAAGUCGAACGGCAGCACAGUAAGAGCUUGCCCUUACGGUUGGCGAGUGGCGGACGGGUGAGGAAUACAUCGGAAUCUACUUUUUCGUGGGGGAUAACGUAGGGAAACUUACGCUAAUACCGCAUACGACCUACGGGUGAAAGCAGGGGAUCUUCGGACCUUGCGCGAUUGAAUGAGCCGAUGUCGGAUUAGCUAGUUGGCGGGGUAAAGGCCCACCAAGGCGACGAUCCGUAGCUGGUCUGAGAGGAUGAUCAGCCACACUGGAACUGAGACACGGUCCAGACUCCUACGGGAGGCAGCAGUGGGGAAUAUUCGGCAAUGGGCGCAAGCCUGAUCCAGCCAUACCGCGUGGGUGAAGAAGGCCUUCGGGUUGUAAAGCCCUUUUGUUGGGAAAGAACAGCAGCAGGUUAAUACCCCGCUGUUCUGACGGUACCCAAAGAAUAAGCACCGGCUAACUUCGUG